UACGUAGGGUGCAAGCGUUAAUCGGAAUUACUGGGCGUAAAGCGUGCGCAGGCGGUUUUGUAAGUCUGAUGUGAAAUCCCCGGGCUCAACCCGGGAAUUGCAUUGGAGACUGCAAGGCUAGAAUCUGGCAGAGGGGGGUAGAAUUCCACGUGUAGCAGUGAAAUGCGUAGAGAUGUGGAGGAACACCGAUGGCGAAGGCAGCACCCUGGGUCAAGAUUGACGCUCAUGCACGAAAGCGUGGGGAGCAAACAGG
rnacentral:rRNA from 1 species